GGGCCCUACCCCCCUUUGUUUAGUUCGUCCUAGGACUGCUCGGGUGCCGACGGACCUGUAACUCUGUGGAUUAUUAAAUUUUGUUACUGUGAUAUACAGAUGACCCCUGGGAUAUAUAUUUGUUUCACAGGAAAUAUCUCCCCUUUGGUGAUGAUGACGGUACCGGAGUUUUGCCAAGAGACUUGGAUUAUCUUGACGGUACAUUGGAGGAUACAUCAUUGAAAACCUACACUUUUCAAUUCAGCACGUCAAAAGGUGGUUGUUUUGUGGCAAAUGAAUGAACAUUUUACCCUAAUGGUUAAUCAAGUUAGGAAGACGAGAUGUAACACUAUUUCAAAGCUGAAGGAGGCUUUUAUUUCAAAGCUGAAGGAGGCUCUAGCCAAUGGUUUCGACAAAGACAACAGCCUGCUAUAAGAAAGUAAAUAGCCAAUUAAGCCAACGGGCAGUUGUAAAUUGUAAGGAGAGAUGUACCCUUAGCUGACUAGGGGGAGGGAAAAAGUCCAAUGAGCAAGGACGACUAACUGCUAAAGAGGAAAUUGCUAAACAAGGCAAGGGAAGUAGUAAAUUGGUGUGUUUGAGGUGUGUGUGUUACAUAGGUGAUUAAAUUGCCAUUAUAUCAGCGAUGAUGUGGAGAGGUUGGCUAUCAAUGAAAUCUUUUGGGUCAUGUUAUUGUGGUCUAGUUUGUAUAAAGACCAUUUGAGAAAUCAUUGCCCAUUUUCAUAUUUUUACUACAUUUUGCCAGAGAUUUAAUUGAGUGAAUUUAACAAAUUUAAUUAAAAUUUGUUUUUCAGACUUAAUUCUAUCCAGUUUUUCAGAGAUUUUGUAAACACCGGGGUAAAUUGUCAUGGUUAACACAAUUGAUUCAAUUUUACUUUUGAGAUAGUUUGUGGACGUCGGUAAAUCGUCAUGGCAAAUUUGUAAUAUUUGUCCAAGAAGUUGAAACACAAUCUUCAUGGAGUUUAGUGGCGUGUUUUUAAAUUUUAAGUCUAAGGUGGCUAAGGGGUGUAAGUGAAUGUGC